AGAACGAACGCUGGCGGCAUGCCUAACACAUGCAAGUCGAACGAGACCUUCGGGUCUAGUGGCGCACGGGUGCGUAACGCGUGGGAAUCUGCCCUUAGGUUCGGAAUAACUCAGAGAAAUUUGAGCUAAUACCGGAUGAUGACGUAAGUCCAAAGAUUUAUCGCCUAGGGAUGAGCCCGCGUAAGAUUAGCUUGUUGGUGAGGUAAAGGCUCACCAAGGCGACGAUCUUUAGCUGGUCUGAGAGGAUGAUCAGCCACACUGGGACUGAGACACGGCCCAGACUCCUACGGGAGCAGCAGUGGGAAUAUUGGACAAGUGGGCGAAAGCCUGA
rnacentral:rRNA from 1 species